rnacentral:rRNA from 1 species
GAAGGGAGCUUGCUCCCGGAUGUUAGCGGCGGACGGGUGAGUAACACGUGGGUAACCUGCCUGUAAGACUGGGAUAACUCCGGGAAACCGGAGCUAAUACCGGAUAGUUCCUUGAACCGCAUGGUUCAAGGAUGAAAGACGGUUUCGGCUGUCACUUACAGAUGGACCCGCGGCGCAUUAGCUAGUUGGUGGGGUAAUGGCUCACCAAGGCGACGAUGCGUAGCCGACCUGAGAGGGUGAUCGGCCACACUGGGACUGAGACACGGCCCAGACUCCUACGGGAGGCAGCAGUAGGGAAUCUUCCGCAAUGGACGAAAGUCUGACGGAGCAACGCCGCGUGAGUGAUGAAGGUUUUCGGAUCGUAAAGCUCUGUUGUUAGGGAAGAACAAGUGCGAGAGUAACUGCUCGCACCUUGACGGUACCUAACCAGAAAGCCACGGCUAACUACGUGCCAGCAGCCGCGGUAAUACGUAGGUGGCAAGCGUUGUCCGGAAUUAUUGGGCGUAAAGGGCUCGCAGGCGGUUUCUUAAGUCUGAUGUGAAAGCCCCCGGCUCAACCGGGGAGGGUCAUUGGAAACUGGGAAACUUGAGUGCAGAAGAGGAGAGUGGAAUUCCACGUGUAGCGGUGAAAUGCGUAGAGAUGUGGAGGAACACCAGUGGCGAAGGCGACUCUCUGGUCUGUAACUGACGCUGAGGAGCGAAAGCGUGGGGAGCGAACAGGAUUAGAUACCCUGGUAGUCCACGCCGUAAACGAUGAGUGCUAAGUGUUAGGGGUUUCCGCCCCUUAGUGCUGCAGCUAACGCAUUAAGCACUCCGCCUGGGGGAGUACGGUCGCA